rnacentral:lncRNA from 1 species
UGAACCUUGAUCGUAGGAGAAAAAGAGUACAACGCACCCUUCACAUUUGAUAGUGACAUGUAUGUAUGUGCUAGACUCCCCCUGAAGUUCGCACCCCCCCUGAUCUUUACAUCAAUCAUAGCGCUCUUCCUGAUUCUUACUAAUCACGGAAGUUUCAACAACUUAGCAUGUCAAUGCUUUUUAACAUGUCUUCAAAUGUGGCAUUGGGCAAUGAUUAACUAAAUCAUGCCGUAUUGUCCUCAAAUGAUCUUUUACACUUAGAUCUUGAGGAGAAGGUCGCUUGUGAACUCAAAACAUAAGUUCGUGCAGGAAAUCAGAUUUCCGCGCAGCAUGAUCUUCAAUUACUAGAACAGUCGUAACUUCCUCUAUGAAAUACAUAUGAACGAACCGUAAACGGUUUUGGAAACUAGACUCAUUUAGCUUUCCAACCGUAUAUUACACACAUUCUGGUUCAUCAGGAGCUGUUCACAAAGUCCCGUCGAAGUUGACUAUUUUGCCAAAAUCAGAUUCUCGGACAGAUUCGUCCUACUUUACGAAAAAGGCCAUAACUCACUCAAUAUGAUAGGUAUGAUCAAAUGGUUGGUGUCCCUGGAAAGUAGACACAUAGACCUUUCCAAUGGUACCAAUUUCACCAUUUUCCAGUGAGUGAGAUUUCCUAUAGGUCCCGUGGAAGUUGACCUAAAAAACUUGGCAGAUUCUGAUUUCGCUUUUGAUGUGUCUUUCUUAUGUAGGGAUAGAAUAAGCCUCAACCUUUCAUACCAUUAAGUAUUGAAAAAGGAGUUACUGCCAUUACAUUGGCGUUGCGUGGGCGCAUAGCUACACUUAGCUUUACAACUUUACAUAGCGAAUGAGAUGUCAAGUCUUUCGUAUUGUGUUGAGUACAUUGAU